GCCAUGAAAUUCUAUGCAAAUCUCAAUUGUUGUUUCUGUAUUAUCAAAACCAAAUUUCGUCCGUGUCGGUGGAGAGCCAAUGCCAGGGCAGGAUACAACGUAUAGAUGGAUGAUGGGAAAUUUGUUCCUGCCACUUUUGUGUCCCUGGAUUUUCUCGAUCGAGAGCAAAAAAUGGGCUGAUCGAACGAAGAGGCGAGCUACUAAAUGAGAUUGUCUGGUUGAAAGGCAGAUGUUGGCGAAAUUGGAUGGCGAGGAGCAACAGACCGUCCCGUCGUCUGAUCCUGCCGCAUGCGUCCGGGAAAGGACAUCAUCUAGGCCCGUCGUGGAUCUAGGCCUCGAUCCCCGGUGGCAACGACGCGACGUGUACGUGCCGGCGAGAUAACGCCAGGCCACUCGCUUAUAGACCGUUAAUUAAUUUCGCCAAUUACACUCGACGCCCCAAAGCGGCCUGUCGAGUGUACACGACGUCGGCCUUUGUGCGUGGUCUGCCUAUCUGCCUGCAGGGACUCCGCUUCUAAAUGAAGGCGAGAUGCAACGAAAAGGCUCGCGAGACCUCCGUUGCUGGCCUUGCCGAGGAAACGAGGAAAAAAGAAGAAGAAAAAAAAAAGAAAAAUGACGAAGGAAGAAACACGAGCAGCGAGACUCCACGGGCAAUUAAGCAGAAUUUCCGGGGAAAAUCCGCAGAUUUUUGACGAGGCGAUUACUCGUGCGAUGGAAAUCUUGCAUACCACGAGGCCACUUUUUAUUAAUCGCCGCUUCGCUUUUCCGGGAACCCAUUCAAUGAGUAUUUUUGGAAAGAGAGGGAGAUGUUUUAAGGGUGGAAGAGGCUGAAGGAGCGAAGUCGAGAGAGUCGACGAUUAGCGAUCGAGACUCACUAGUUUAAUCCUUCACGAACGUGGAAUUUUAUUUGCAGUUAUUAAUUUAUGGUUCGUAAUUUACGAUUCCAUAUGGUCUCUGUUCAUUCUGAGAUGUUUUUCCUUGGCAAUUUUUGAAACUCGUGUUUUAGGACCUAACCAGUAACUAUAUGUAAAAUUAUGCAUUUUUCAAUUGGGAGAAGCAAUUUUUUUUAUCAGAUUGAGUUAAAUGGUAUAUAGGUAGUGUAAAUAGCGAAAGAAUAAAAAAAUAGCUUUUAUAGAUGAAAAAAUAUUCCAUUCUAAAUGUAGCUUUAAA